rnacentral:lncRNA from 1 species
UAAGAGCUAAACAAUUUUGGUGAAAUUUUGUAAAAGUUUGCAAAAAAAAAAAAAUUUGGAGAAGGGAAAAAGUGACUGAAAAUAUCACCUAUAUUCAAUAAAAAAAUUGGAAAAAUGAAUCCAUAAAAUAUAUGCUACUUUUUUUUUGUGCCAGAUGAGAUGUCCCUUUCAUAUUUCUUUGUGAACAUGAAAAUCCGAUCAUAGGGAACCUAACCCCAUAUCUCUUCGGCCUUUACACCAUGGAAUAUUGGGAUUGGGGAGGCUUUUUAUUGAUUGGUUAAGAAUUGAGAUAAAAGACAACCAUGGUGAAAUCACAAAAUGGGGACCACUUGACCCAUUGGUUUACACGCUACACUAAGAGUGACAAAGAUUUGAGUCAUCCCCAUCUUGUCUUAAUAUAACCAAGGCCUAACAGCUUCUUUAAGUUUGGCCACUUGAAGCUUUCCAUUACCAUUUCUUUUUUUUUUUGCCAAAAAAAAUGGCCUCCCCGCCCUCCCAUGGAAACAUUAGUGUGAGCACCUCUCCCAAAGGCAGCAACGCCUCUGAAGCAGCUGUGCCAGCCAAUUCGCCCAAAGGGGGCCAAUGUUUGUGCUCACCAACAACUCACCAGGGCUCUUUUCGAUGCAGAUUUCAUCGGUCAAGGUCUACAGCCUGGAUGAAGCGAUCAAAGUCCAUGCCUGCCAACAAUAGUUCCGUGGCUCCUCUUUCUCCCAAGUCUGUCGAAUCUACAUAAUAAAGACCAAAAGUGAUGCCCUCUUCCAUGUUCUCAUAACAAUCUCCCUCUGUAUCUCAACUAUGUGAAACAUACACGUAUAUACACCAUAUAGCUAUGCUGGAUUUUCUGUAUUCGCUUGGGAUGUGAUUAUAAAAUAUGGGAGCUAUUUAAAAUCAAACAGCCAAUUUGUAGUAGGAGCUUUACUUCUCUUGAUUUUAUCUGGUAAAGCUCUCUCUUUUUUAAGUUAUUGCAAAUUUUGUAUUAAUUCAACACUAUCUUAAUUUUCAUUCGUGUGCACAUACAUAUAUAUAUAUAUAUAUAUAUAUGUAUGCAGUCAAUCUUUCAACAAAAUCGUGAAUAGUUUCAUGUCAGUUUUAGCUAAAUUUGAACUAAACUUGUUUCUAUUUUACUUUUAACUUCUUUUUUCCAUAGCUGAGGUAUUAACAAACUUGAACCAUUUGAUAAAGGCGAAUUUCAAUUGUAAAUUCAUUAUAGUUUUAGAGAUAAAUUCGUUAUACUUAAUUGGCAAAGGCACUGACAUGUUCAAAGUUGAUAUAUCUUACCUACCCUUUCAUGGUUUCCAGCUAUAAAGUUCUAUAUGCUCAUUCCAAAAAAUCACUUCAACUACAGGUUGAAGAACAGUCUAAAGAAAUUAAAAUUAUUUAUCUCCUCAAACAUCAGUCCAUCCUUAUUCCUUGUCCUUGAAUAAUCAGAUGCCUCCGCCACUUGAUUUUUUUUUUUGUUUAGAAGAUAUAAAACUGUGCUGAUUUACUAUAUAUGUUACUUUCUGUCCUGUCAAAUUUUGAUUGUUACCUCUCAAUUUUUUCCUGACUGAAAUGGAAUGGCUUGAGAUGAGUUUUGAAUGGUAUGUGAUGAUUUUUGUCAAAUUACAUUUGGAAUGGUAUUUGGAUGAUUUAAAAAAUUUGAAGAAAAGCAUCAUUUAAAUUUUUUUUUUCCCAAUAAGUUAGAUGCCAAAAAGGCAAUGGGGCCUUUGAUAACGACAAUGGAAGAAUAUUCAAACGGUUUGAUUGAUCGUUUUAUGCCUUCUAUAUUACUUUUUUUUUUUUUUUUAAAGAACAUGCCUUGUAUAUUACUCUUGCUCUUAAAAAUAUGUCACUUUCUAAAUGGUUUAUUAUAUCUUUUUUUUAAUUUAAAUGAAAAUAAAUAAUAAAUUAAUUAAAGACAAUGAUAAUGCACAUGGAUUCAUAGUCCUUAAUUGAUUAAUAAGAUUAACCUUAUCCAAUUUUUCUUUUUUGUUUAGUCUUUUUUGGGAGUUUAGAUUAUUCGAGUUAGACUAAUUUUAUUGGAGACCUGUUGGUUAAUAUCACCUUACUAGUAAUUAUUUUAUAAAAUUAGUUUGAGCUAGUUUAGGAUAAUUUAGGAUUAUACUUAAAUUGAAUUUACAUGUCAGUUUUAGUGAAAUAUACUCAAUAAAAUUUUUUAUUAUAAAAUUUUUUCAAUCAUAAUUAAAAUAAUUUUUUUAAUUAUAAUUAUAAUAAUUUUUAUUAUUAUUUUAUAUUUCACCGUUCAUUCAAAUGAAAUCAAAAAAUUAUUAGAAUUACUAGUUAUUGAGAUUUUGCUAUGCUUUAGAUUAAUGAAAUAAUGAUUAUAAAAGCAUAAAUCCUCACUCUCUCCCCACUCUUGUUCAUCGUCUAAAUCUCGUUUCUCCCAUAUUUUAGAUCAAAUCCCUCCCUCACUCUCUCUCCCUAUCCCCCUCCCCUUCUUGCUUGCCCAUAUUUUAAAAUUAAUUCCUAUCGGCCUAAACCCCUCGCUCUCACAACAAGCUUCUCAGGAUACUGUUCAUGGCAUAAAACCUCUGCCUCAGAACUAUAAUUUCCCUUCUUAUUUGUAGCCUUAAUAACAUUCCUUUCAAGUACCUAUCAACCAUCUUUCUUACCCAAUAUUUUAAAAUAAUUCCCACAAGCCAAAACCUAAUUCCUAACCUUUUUGCUGCCAAACAACUAUAAAUCUAAGAGAGCAAACAUUCCCCCUACAGAGGUUACAUACAAACCAAAAUUCACAAGUCCAACCAUUUGCUUUCACGAUAUCUAAUGAACUGCAGUAUGUUAUUAAUCAAAUAGCACUCUUUGUGGGUAAUUUAAAAUAUCAUCACAUAUGCAAGCAACAAGGACAUAUUCAAAUGAUUAUAAACAGUCACAAUGGAUGUCAAGAACUCCUAAAAGAACUAUAAUUUAUUCAAGUAUCAUAUAUGCAUACCUCAUCAAAAAUCCAUUUGCAAAUGCCAGACUGGUGCAACAACAGAAUGUAUUUAAAUCACAACCCGGCUAUAUCUUGCAUGGUUGUCAAUCCAUUUGCAAUUCAUUAUGUGUCAAUUCUCUAGUGAAGAGAUUUGGAGGGUGUCAAUUCCUUUUUUGUACAAUUGAAUAAGGCCAACAGGGCAAAAGAGGGAGAGAUCAGAAGAUGAGAAGGGGGUUUAGGGAAGAAAAGGUAGCAAUAAUGGGGCAAGACACUAAUUUGAGGAAACAAAUAUAGAUUUGCAAGUGACCAAUACUUCUUAAUUUGAGUGGCAAAAAAUUUAAUUCUUUUUAAAUGAGAUUUCGAUUUCGAAUUUUGUGAAUAAAAAAAAUAAAUUUAAAAGAAUAUAUUUUUAAAGAAUACGAUUUGAUUUAAUUUCAGAUUAAUUAAAAUUUAAAAUAAUUAUCGGAUAUAAAAAAUUUUAGACAAAAAAAAAUAUGAACUUGCAGGAUUAACCAAUUAGCCAUUAUGUUUUGUUUGUAAUUCACAAGAAAAAUAAAAGCACAGUAAAAAUCUGAAAAGGGGGGGCGUUUCUAAAGUAGUUCAAAUCACUCUUACAAAAGAACCAGUGAUUUUUUACCUUGAAACUAAAGCGACUGGUCAUUUCUUGCUAACAAAUAGACCACCCCCGUACAUACUCGGCACAGUGGAGCAGUCAUUUCUUGCUGAUGAAUCGACCACCCCACACAUAGUCCGCAUGGUGGUGCCACACCGAAACUUGUUUUACUGAAG